rnacentral:rRNA from 1 species
GACGAACCGUGCGAACGUUGUUCGGAAUCACUGGGCUUAAAGGGCGCGUAGGCGGGCAGGCAAGUCAGGGGUGAAAGCCCACGGCUCAACCGUGGAAGCGCCUUUGAUACUGCCGGUCUCGAGGGAGGUAGGGGCGUGCGGAACUUCCGGUGGAGCGGUGAAAUGCGUAGAUAUCGGAAGGAACACCGGUGGCGAAAGCGGCGCGCUGGACCUCUUCUGACGCUGAGGCGCGAAAGCCAGGGGAG